rnacentral:hammerhead_ribozyme from 1 species
GCACUGCUGACGAGUCCCAAAUAGGACGAAACAGCUGUUCAGUAC